rnacentral:misc_RNA from 1 species
GAUGAAGAACGCAGCGAAAUGCGAUAAGUAAUGUGAAUUGCAGAAUUCAGUGAAUCAUCGAAUCUUUGAACGCACAUUUCGCCCGCCAGUAUUCUGGCGGGCAUGCCUGUCUGAGCGUCAUUUCAACCCUCAUGCCCCUAGGGCGUGGUGUUGGGGAUCGGCCAAAGCCCGCGAGGGACGGCCGGCCCCUAAAUCUAGUGGCGGACCCGUCGUGGCCUCCUCUGCGAAGUAGUGAUAUUCCGCAUCGGAGAGCGAUGAGCCCCUGCCGUUAAACCCCCAACUUUCCAAGGUUGACCUCAGAUCAGGUAGGAAUACCCGCUGAACUUAAGCAUAUCAAUAAGCGGAGGA